CAAACUGUUGCCUCGGCGGGAUCUCUGCCCCGGGUGCGUCGCAGCCCCGGACCAAGGCGCCCGCCGGAGGACCAACCAAAACUCUUAUUGUAUACCCCCUCGCGGGUUUUUUUAUAAUCUGAGCCUUCUCGGCGCCUCUCGUAGGCGUUUCGAAAAUGAAUCAAAACUUUCAACAACGGAUCUCUUGGUUCUGGCAUCGAUGAAGAACGCAGCGAAAUGCGAUAAGUAAUGUGAAUUGCAGAAUUCAGUGAAUCAUCGAAUCUUUGAACGCACAUUGCGCCCGCCAGUAUUCUGGCGGGCAUGCCUGUCCGAGCGUCAUUUCAACCCUCGAACCCCUCCGGGGGGUCGGCGUUGGGGAUCGGCCCUCCCUUAGCGGGUGGCCGUCUCCGAAAUACAGUGGCGGUCUCGCCGCAGCCUCUCCUGCGCAGUAGUUUGCACACUCGCAUCGGGAGCGCGGCGCGUCCACAGCCGUUAAACACCCAACUUCUGAAAUGUUGACCUCGGAUCAGGUAGGAAUACCCGCUGAACUUAAGCAUAUCAAUAAGCGGAGGAA
rnacentral:rRNA from 1 species